rnacentral:sRNA from 1 species
GGGCGGGGAGGUUCGACUCGAGCGAAGCGAGAGAACGUUGCGCCAGCAACGGCCCGCAGGGCGAGCCACGAAGUGGCGAGUAAUCCUCUAUCACCGACCA